rnacentral:lncRNA from 1 species
CAAAGGUGAACCUGUCUUCUGACCUCUGUGAGACCUCAAAACCAACAUUUUUGGACAAAAUCACCGUCCUGAACUUUGCAGUUGUUGGCUCCGAGGGAACCCUCUAAACAAAUGUGUACGUGGCUCUGAUUCAGCAGAGUCUAAGUUUGGCCUUGAACAGCUCUGGGAUGGGUACCAUGGCACACAGCUGCAGGAUGGCCCACUGCAUAUCAGGGAGCCCAUUAGCUGACUUCACACUCAGGCCCAUGCAACUGAAUCCUGAGAACUUCCAACUGCAGGCAUCUGUUUGCCCCAGGCCAGUGGCAAGCCUUGCAGAAAAAUCCUCCAUGCUGUGUGCUGAACUUCAGGAACUCUACUCACCACCAGCACCAGAAAGAAGGAAAGGGGAGAAGGGCCAACUUAUUUGUCAAGAAGAAAAUAAGAAACAGUUGAAGGGCCUGUACCAAGUCCCUGAAAAGCUGCCAGGCCAUAUGAGUUCAAUCUGCUUGCUAGAUUCGUUUUCUCCAGACUUGAAACAGUGA